UCGGAUAUGGUGUACGGUACACCGCCUCCUCUCUUGAUUCGGAGUUUUAGAAGUUAAGCGAGGCAGACCGGGGUUCGACUCCCCGUGUCCGAC